rnacentral:misc_RNA from 1 species
UCUCCGUAGGUGAACCUGCGGAGGGAUCAUUACCGAGUGAGGGCCCCCGGCCCGACCUCCAACCCUUUGUGUUUCUGACUGUGUUGCCUCGGGGGCGACCCUGCCGCUUCGGCGGUGCGGCGCCCCCGGAGGCCAUUAAACACUGCAUCAUUGCGUCGGAGUUAAAGUAAAUUAAACAAAACUUUCAACAACGGAUCUCUUGGUUCCAGCAUCGAUGAAGAACGCAGC